rnacentral:rRNA from 1 species
GACAGUCGACGGUGAACACGGAGCUUGCUCUGUGGGAUCAGUGGCGAACGGGUGAGUAACACGUGAGCAACCUGCCCCUGACUCUGGGAUAAGCGCUGGAAACGGCGUCUAAUACUGGAUAUGUGACGUGACCGCAUGGUCUGCGUUUGGAAAGAUUUUUCGGUUGGGGAUGGGCUCGCGGCCUAUCAGCUUGUUGGUGAGGUAAUGGCUCACCAAGGCGUCGACGGGUAGCCGGCCUGAGAGGGUGACCGGCCACACUGGGACUGAGACACGGCCCAGACUCCUACGGGAGGCAGCAGUGGGGAAUAUUGCACAAUGGGCGAAAGCCUGAUGCAGCAACGCCGCGUGAGGGAUGACGGCCUUCGGGUUGUAAACCUCUUUUAGCAGGGAAGAAGCGAAAGUGACGGUACCUG